rnacentral:rRNA from 1 species
UAGGGAAUCUUCCGCAAUGGGCGAAAGCCUGACGGAGCAACGCCGCGUGAGUGAUGAAGGUCUUCGGAUCGUAAAACUCUGUUAUUAGGGAAGAACAAAUGUGUAAGUAACUAUGCACGUCUUGACGGUACCUAAUCAGAAAGCCACGGCUAACUACGUGCCAGCAGCCGCGGUAAUACGUAGGUGGCAAGCGUUAUCCGGAAUUAUUGGGCGUAAAGCGCGCGUAGGCGGUUUUUUAAGUCUGAUGUGAAAGCCCACGGCUCAACCGUGGAGGGUCAUUGGAAACUGGAAAACUUGAGUGCAGAAGAAGAAAGUGGAAUUCCAGGUGUAGCGGUGAAAUGCGCAGUGAUAUGGAGGAACACCAGUGGCGAAGGCGACUUUCUGGUCUGUAACUGACGCUGAUGUGCGAAAGCGUGGGGAUCAAACAGG